rnacentral:lncRNA from 1 species
GUCCUGACAGUUCGCAUGUGCUCAUGCUGACUCUACAACUCAUUUAUCAUAGAAGCCAGAAUGUAGCACUUGAUCCAAUUGUCAUCAUUUGUCCACUUAUCCAAUGCUGCUCUUUGUUCAGUACUAGGACAGCUUGGUAAAGCAGGGGGUCCGAGUCAAGUACAUACCCUAUUUUCUUAAAAAUCAAGAUGAUUUUGAGAUUUUUGAGCUAAUCCUUGAAGUCAGUUUCGGUCAAUCAAUUGGACU